ACGUCGUCAGCGCGCCGGCGGUGUUCGGGCGGCUGAUGCUCGACCGGCUGUGGGGCGACGGGCCCGGCUCGGGGCCCGUGGCGGCGUUCC
rnacentral:tRNA from 1 species